UAGGUGGCAAGCGUUGUCCGGAAUGACUGGGCGUAAAGGGAGCGUAGGCGGCGCAGUAAGUUAGGAGUGAAAUCCCAUGGCUUAACCAUGGAACUGCUUUUAAAACUGCUGUGCUUGAGUGAUGGAGAGGAAAGCGGAAUUCCUAGUGUAGCGGUGGAAUGCGUAGAUAUUAGGAGGAACACCAGAGGCGAAGGCGGCUUUCUGGACAUUAACUGACGCUGUGGCUCGAAAGCGUGGGGAGCAAA
rnacentral:rRNA from 1 species